rnacentral:rRNA from 1 species
AGUGAACGCUGGCGGUAGGCCUAACACAUGCAAGUCGAACGGCAGCACAGUAAGAGCUUGCUCUUACGGGUGGCGAGUGGCGGACGGGUGAGGAAUACAUCGGAAUCUACUUUUUCGUGGGGGAUAACGUAGGGAAACUUACGCUAAUACCGCAUACGACCUACGGGUGAAAGCAGGGGAUCUUCGGACCUUGCGCGAUUGAAUGAGCCGCUGUCGGAUUAGCUAGUUGGCGGGGUAAAGGCCCACCAAGGCGACGAUCCGUAGCUGGUCUGAGAGGAUGGUCGGCCACACUGGAACUGAGACACGGUCCAGACUCCUACGGGAGGCAGCAGUGGGGAAUAUUGGACAAUGGGCGCAAGCCUGAUCCAGCCGUACCGCGUGGGUGAAGAAGGCCUUCGGGUUGUAAAGCCCUUUUGUUGGGAAAGAAAAGCAGCAGGUUAAUACCCCGCUGUUCUGACGGUACCCAAAGAAUAAGCACCGGCUAACUUCGUG